rnacentral:rRNA from 1 species
AGCGAGAAAGUCCCUUCGGCGGCGAGUAUAGCGGCGGACGGGUGAGUAAUACGUGGGUAAUCUGCCCUCGAGCCUGGGAUAACCCCGCGAAAGUGGGGCUAAUACCGGAUAAGACCACGUGACAUAUGUCGCGAGGUAGAAGGUGGCUUGUAUUCGUACAUGCUAUCACUUGAGGAUGAGCCCAUGGCCUAUCAGCUUGUUGGUGAGGUAAGAGCUUACCAAGGCUAUGACGGGUAGCUGGUCUGAGAGGACGACCAGCCACACUGGGACUGAGACACGGCCCAGACUCCUACGGGAGGCAGCAGUGGGGAAUAUUGGGCAAUGGGCGAAAGCCUGACCCAGCGACGCCGCGUGGGUGAUGAAGGCCUUCGGGUUGUAAAGCCCUUUCGUGCGGAAAGAACAGCCCUGAAUUGAAUACAUUCAGGGUUUGACGGUACCGCAGGAAGAAGCACCGGCUAACUCCGUGCCAGAAGC